AGCAGCCGCGGUAAUUCCAGCUCCAAUAGCGUAUAUUAAAGUUGUUGCAGUUAAAAAGCUCGUAGUUGAAUUUCGGGAUCAAUACGUUGGUCGUGCUUUCGGGUACGUACUGGCGUCAUUGGUUUCUCUCUUCUGACGAACCAUGAUGUCAUUAGUUUGGUGUUAUGGGGAGUUAGGACUGUUACUUUGAAAAAAGUUAGAGUGUUUAAAUGCAGGCAUUAGCUUGAAUACAUUAGCAUGGAAUAAUGAAAUAGGACGUUUGAUCCUAUUUUGUUGGUUUCUAGGAUCGACGUAAUGAUUAAUAGGGAUAGUUGGGGGGCAUUAGUAUUCAAUUGUCAGAGGUGAAAUUCUUGGAUUUAUUGAAGACUAACUACUGCGAAAGCAUUUGCCAAGGAUGUUUUCAUUAAUCAAGAACGAAAGUUAGGGGAUCGAAGACGAUCAGAUACCGUCGUAGUCUUAACCAUAAACUAUGCCGACUAGGGAUCGGAUGAUGUUAAUUUUUU
rnacentral:misc_RNA from 1 species